rnacentral:rRNA from 1 species
CCUACGGGAGGCAGCAGUGGGGGAUAUUGCACAAUGGGGGAAACCCUGAUGCAGCGACGCCGCGUGUGGGAAGACGUGCCUCUGGAUGUAAAGCCACUUCCGCCGGGGAGAAAAAAGACGGUACCUGGCUAAGAAGCUCCGGCUAACUACGUGCCAGCAGCCGCGGUAAUACGUAGGGGGCGAGCGUUGUCCGGAUUUACUGGGUGUAAAGGGAGCGUAGGCGGAGAGGCAAGUUGGAGGUAAAACCUACGGGCCAAACCGGUAGUCGCAUUUGAAACUGCAGGUCUUGAGUGAAGUAGAGGUAGGCGGAAUUCCUAGUGUAGCGGUGAAAUGCGUAGAUAUUAGGAGGAACACCAGUGGCGAAGGCGGCCUGCUGGACUUUUACUGACGCUGAGGCUCGAAAGCGUGGGGAGCAAACAGGAUUAGAUACCCGGGUAGUC